rnacentral:rRNA from 1 species
UACGAAGGGGGCUAGCGUUGCUCGGAUUGACUGGGCGUAAAGGGCGCGUAGGCGGUUCGUACAGUCAGACGUGAAAUCCCUGGGCUCAACCUGGGGGCUGCGUUUGAUACGUGCGGACUUGAGUGCGGAAGUGGGUCGUGGAAUUCCCAGUGUAGAGGUGAAAUUCGUAGAUAUUGGGAAGAACACCGGUGGCGAAGGCGGCGACCUGGUCCGAUACUGACGCUGAGGCGCGAAAGCGUGGGGAGCAAACAGG